GAUUCCCUGAGUAGCGGCGAGCGAAACGGGAAGAGCCCAAACCAACAAGCUUGCUUGUUGGGGUUGUAGGACUCCGAUAUGGUAGUCUGUUAGUAUAGUUGAAGGAUUUGGAAAAUUCCGCUAAAGAGGGUGAAAGCCCCGUAGACGAAAUGCUGACAACACCUAGGAGGAUCCUGAGUACGGCGGAACACGAGAAAUUCCGUCGGAAUCCGCGGGGACCAUCCCGCAAGGCU
rnacentral:rRNA from 1 species